UUCUAAAACCACCAAAUCGAACAAGAAUACUCUUUUCUUUUCCAAUAACACAUCCCCUUCUUCGAGCUCUCGGGAAAAAGAUACUCUAAUUGUUGUUGAUUAUUCUAAAAACCCAUUCUUUAUCCCCUCUGUGAUCCCUAAUGAAGAUCUAUCCCAUCCUCCUGGUUUUGGUCCCCUCUCUCUCUUUACAAAACCAAUUCUAAUCCCCCUUCCCAGAACAAUCUCAAACCUAAAUCUCGAUCCUGGAUUCGCAAACCUUCAAACAACAUCCCAAAAAUCCCUAACCUGAAUCAGUUGAGCACUUUGAAGGAGAACCAUCAAUUCAUCACUGAAAAUUCUAUCCUGAAAGAUAAAAUAGCUAAGUCUUUAGAAAUUGCUCCUCAAUCUCAAGGAAUUUUGAAACAAUUUCCUCUUAAGCUGGAUGAAUUUAAUGGAGGAUCUAAAACUCUAUCUCUGGCUAAGUCAAAAUCUCUCAAAAUCUCUAGGCAAAGGAAAUUUGCUGCUACCAUAAUUACGGAUGCAAUUGCAACGGCUCAGCAAGAUAAGACCUUGGAAUUACCAUCUAUGGAGAAUUGUGAGGGAGCUGACCAGAUCCCACUGAGAAAAAAAUUCGAAGGAAAACUAGAGGGGUCAGAGCUCACAACAAAGAAGAAGGAGACUGCCUAGCGGCUCAGGAUGCUCUCCAGUGGGCUUCUCUUUUGCACUGCAGAACUUUUAAUCUUUUAGGUACCAACAAAAACCUAAAUAGCACUUUGCAAGGUAGCCAGCGCACGACAGCUUGGCAGACAAAUAAGAUAGUCGACAAUCUAUUGUCAUCUUUACUUCUAUUUGAAAAUGUAUUUUGUAAGGGCAUUCAGUCCAAAAAUUUCAUUGACCUUCGACAACUUACUUUAAUUCAUGGAAAAAACCAAAGUCCUCAAACUUGGGAGGCACAAAACAUCUGUACGAUUAUUAACAUUCAGUAAUCUAUCUUUCCCUUAUAAAAAA